UGUUGGGUCCGUUAGAGGGGCGAGGGGUGGCAGCGCCCUGUGCUGCACUUGGGCCACAUGCAGCCGCGCAGCACUGCAGGCCGGGGCAGGGGCUGGAAAGAGGCCCAGUGGAAAAGAGCUGGGGGUGCUGGUUGACAGGCAGCUGAACCUGAGCCCGGAGAGAGGCCAAAGCUGUGCUGACUUGCGAUGCAAAUCCUCCAUCUCCCCCCACCCCUGGCUGCACAAGGGGGAGACGCCUUCCUGCAGCCCUGCCCAGCAGGAACCAGCUCCAGCACACCUCCAGCUGUCCAAAACCUACACCAGAACUCACUCAGGACAAAGCAGGCUUUGAGAUUCUACUAAAUGAAAGGAACACUGCGACAAGCCAAGUAAAGCAGGAGUGUUUCAAUUAUAUUUUACUCUUCAUUAGAUUGUUCAUUUGAAUGUUUGUAUUACAAAAUUAGCUGCCAUGGCCCACAACUGGAUGGGACUUCAGGAAAGCUGUCCAGUUACUCAAAAGAGCACAAAUUAGUAUUUCCUUUCAAAGAACUCUGUGAAACAAUAACAUAUUAGUCUUUAAAGCUAAAUAGUGCUAAAAUUUCACAUAAUCGACAUUAAUUUUGGUUUUAAAUAAUUUUACCAACCAUUAUAAAAUUAAUGUAUUUGCAUUUAUCAGGUUACAGACAUUUGCAUUUCAAUCAGGGUGAAGUAUCCCAUGCUGGAACAAGGAGUUUAAGCAAUUGCUGUUUCAACAGCAGCUAAUUCUUAUUGCCUCAGAACCAAGUUUCCACAAAGUAUUGAACAAGAAAAUGCAGGACAUUGUUUCCCCACAAAACUGUUAAAAGUCUGUUACAAGCAACAAUAAAAUGCCUUCUGGACAGGAAGCAUUUAUAAAAUGCAGAGCUCUCCCAGCGAAGUGCUUGCACAGGGCAUUCACUUCAUUCUUCCCAUUUAGAUUCAAAACCCUGAAGGGAUCACUGACCGGCUGAAGAGGACAAAUAUCCUCCGAAACAUUUCCACUGGCUUGGGGAGAUUGGGAACUGCAGGUACUCCACUAGAUCUGGUUCCUGGCUGAACAGGGCAGCAGCUGCUGAGAUCAGGAGAGAAGGGGUUGAGGCAAACUUUAACAGUUAAAAAUAUUGGAGGAAAGCUGGUUGAAUUGCUAACUCACCAUGCACUCACUCCUGAAGGAACACUGUGCUGACAUCACAGAUUCCAAAUUGUUUUAAGUUAGCAGCACCCAAACACACAAGUAGGAGACUGUCCAUGUAUUCCAUUCCCUUGGUUCUCACCAUCUCUUUGUUUUACACAUAAGCCAAUCAUGCCCACGGGUGACCUAAUACUGCUUCAGGACCCUUGUAAAAAAAA